ACGUAGGGGGCAAGCGUUGUCCGGAAUCAUUGGGCGUAAAGAGCGUGUAGGCGGCCAGAUAAGUCCGCUGUGAAAACUCGAGGCUCAACCUCGAGAGGUCGGUGGAAACCGUUUGGCUAGAGUCCGGAAGAGGAGAGUGGAAUUCCCGGUGUAGCGGUGAAAUGCGCAGAUAUCGGGAAGAACACCCGUGGCGAAGGCGGCUUUCUGGGACGGUACUGACGCUGAGACGCGAAAGCGUGGGGAGCGAACAGGA
rnacentral:rRNA from 1 species